rnacentral:lncRNA from 1 species
GCGGAGCCGGGCAGAGGUUUUAGGGGAAUGAUUAACAAAGGCGUCCGAAGAAAUCGUUGUUGGAAGGUGACCAAGGUGGAAAGAGACGUUGCUUUGGCCCUGCAAGUAAGAAGAGAGAGGGAAUAGCCUGAAGGAGUAACACUAAAUUUAAAAUGACACUUUUUUACCAACCAGCGAAAGCAGAUGUUCAAAGGGGAUAUUGGCCAGGUGCGGUCGCUCACGCCUUUAAUCCCAGCACUUUGGGGGCAGACGCGGGGAGAUAGCGUGAUUCUAGGAGUUCAACCCCAGCCUGGGCAACAUGCGGAGACCCCGUACCGUCUCUACAAAAACAUUAAACAAAAAAAUUAGCUGGGCAUGGUGGUGUACCCCUGUAGUUGCAGCUACACUAGAGGCUGAGGUGGGAGGAUCGCUUGAGCCCGGGAUGUUGAGGCUGCAGUGAGCCUCGAUCCUACCACUGUGCUCCAGCCUGGGCGACAGCAAGCCCGUGUCUCAGAAAAGGCGGGAGGGGUGGGAUAUUAUUGAUGAUAGGCCUUCUGACGUCUGGCAAUAGAUUCCAGAGUAACAUCGGUCAUGGAUAAAUUUUUUUUUUAACUAAGU